AACGAACGCUGGCGGCAUGCCUAACACAUGCAAGUCGAACGAGAUCUUCGGGUCUAGUGGCGCACGGGUGCGUAACGCGUGGGAAUCUGCCCUUUGGUUCGGAAUAACAGUUGGAAACGACUGCUAAUACCGGAUGAUGACGAAAGUCCAAAGAUUUAUCGCCAGAGGAUGAGCCCGCGUAGGAUUAGCUAGUUGGUGUGGUAAAGGCGCACCAAGGCGACGAUCCUUAGCUGGCCUGAGAGGAUGAUCAGCCACACUGGGACUGAGACACGGCCCAGACUCCUACGGGAGGCAGCAGUGGGGAAUAUUGGACAAUGGGCGAAAGCCUGAUCCAGCAAGGCCGCGUGAGUGAUGAAGGCCUUAGGGUUGUAAAGCUCUUUUACCCGGGAUGAUAAUGACAGUACCGGGAGAAUAAGCUCCGGCUAACUCCGUGCCAGCAGCCGCAGUAA
rnacentral:rRNA from 1 species